GAUGAACGCUGGCGGCGUGCCUAAUACAUGCAAGUCGAGCGAACGGACGAGGAGCUUGCUCCUCUGACGUUAGCGGCGGACGGGUGAGUAACACGUGGAUAACCUACCUAUAAGACUGGGAUAACUUCGGGAAACCGGAGCUAAUACCGGAUGAUAUUUUGAACCGCAUGGUUCAAUAGUGAAAGACGGUUUUGCUGUCACUUAUAGAUGGAUCCGCGCUGCAUUAGCUAGUUGGUAAGGUAACGGCUUACCAAGGCAACGAUGCAUAGCCGACCUGAGAGGGUGAUCGGCCACACUGGAACUGAGACACGGUCCAGACUCCUACGGGAGGCAGCAGUAGGGAAUCUUCCGCAAUGGGCGAAAGCCUGACGGAGCAACGCCGCGUGAGUGAUGAAGGUCUUCGGAUCGUAAAACUCUGUUAUUAGGGAAGAACAAAUGUGUAAGUAACUAUGCACGUCUUGACGGUACCUAAUCAGAAAGCCACGGCUAACUACGUG
rnacentral:rRNA from 1 species